rnacentral:rRNA from 1 species
UACGUAGGGUGCAAGCGUUAAUCGGAAUUACUGGGCGUAAAGCGUGCGCAGGCGGUUCUAUAAGACAGAUGUGAAAUCCCCGGGCUCAACCUGGGAACUGCAUUUGUGACUGUAGAGCUGGAGUGCGGCAGAGGGGGAUGGAAUUCCGCGUGUAGCAGUGAAAUGCGUAGAUAUGCGGAGGAACACCGAUGGCGAAGGCGGCAUCCUGGACCGACAUUGACGCUGAACGGCGAAAGCUAGGGGAGCAAACGGG